GACGAACGCUGGCGGCGUGCUUAACACAUGCAAGUCGAACGGAAGGGCCCGGCUUUUGUUUGUUUCUCGAUUGGGGAAGGGGUGAGUAACACGUGAGGAACCUCCCCUUGACUGUCUGGGAACUCCAGGAAACAGGGGCGAAAACACGGUAUGAGCUCUUGCUCCGUGUGGGGGAUAGGAGAGUUUCGGCGUUGGGGGAUGUACUAGCGGGUUAUGAGCUUGUUGGUGGGGUAGUGGAUUACCAAGGUUUUGAAGGGUAGCCGGCCUGAGAGGGUGACCGGCCACAUUGGGACUGAGAUACGCCCCAGAAUCCUAUGGGAGGCAGUAGUGGGGAAUAUUGCACAAUGGGCGGAAGUCUGAUGCAGCAACGCCGCGUGCGGGAUGACGGCCUUCGGGUUGUAAACAGAUUUCGACUUUGCCGAAGAGUGCGUGACGGUAAUGGGUAAAGAAGCACCGGCUAACUACGUG
rnacentral:rRNA from 1 species